UACGGGGGGUGCGAGCGUUGUCCGGAUUCACUGGGCGUAAAGCGCGCGCAGGCGGCUUAUUAAGUCUGAUGUGAAAGCCCACGGCUCAACCGUGGAGGGCCAUUGGAAACUGGUAGGCUUGAGUGCAGGAGAGGAGAGCGGAAUUCCCGGUGUAGCGGUGAAAUGCGCAGAUAUCAGGAGGAACACCGGUGGCGAAGGCGGUUCUCUGGGCAUUACCUGACGCUGAGGAGCGAAAGCACGGGGAGCGAACAGG
rnacentral:rRNA from 1 species